UCAGAGACAAGGAUUUCUGAAAGCUCUCUCAGCUUGAUAACGUCGCGGAAGUUACUAUGAAACAAGCGUUUUAAAUUGAACAACAGAUUCUUCCUCUAGUCGCUGCUCUGUUUCCUGUUCUGAUAUAAUUAAUUCUUGGCUAUGUCUACAGCAGGUAAGCCAAUCACUUGUCGUGCAGCAGUUGUAUGGGAACAGAAUCAACCCUACAAAAUAGAGAUUGUAGAAGUUUCUGUGCCAAAAAAUGGCGAGGUGCGAGUUAAAUUGACGUCAUCAGGAAUAUGUCACACAGAUAGCCAUUUUCAAGAGGGAAUGUUCCCAAGUGUCGCGUUUCCAUUAGUUUUGGGACAUGAAGGAGCAGGAAUAAUUGAAAGCGUUGGGGAAGGUGUUACACAUCUAAAGUCAGGGGAUUUAGUUGUGUUAACAUUUGAAGCAUUUUGUGGAGAAUGUGAUUAUUGCAAAAAUCCUAAUUGUAACAUGUGUCUGAAACAACCGAGGAAUCAUCUUCAAAUGGAUGGCACAUCCCGCAUGUCAUACAAGGGGAAAUUCCUGAGUCAGUUUUUUUCAAUAAGCACUUUUUCAGAGUAUACAGUGACAUCUCAAUGGAAUGUUACUAAAGUUAAUCCUAAAGCAGACCGAAUCACUUUAUGCUUGCUUGGUUGCUGCGUGCCUACUGGCUACGGGGCAGCAGUUAACACUGCUAAGGUGACUCCCGGAUCCACUUGUGCAAUUUGGGGUCUUGGAGGAGUUGGCAUGUGCAUUAUUAUGGGUUGUAAAAAUGCUGGAGCUUCUAAAAUUAUUGGGAUUGAUAUUAAUGACAAGAAGUUUGAAUUAGCCAAAGAAUUAGGUAUGACACACUUCCUGAAUCCCAAAAAAGUGUCCAAUAUACCAGAAGCCAUAGCAAAAUUGACCACAAGAGGAGCUGACUUCUGUUUUGUCUCAGUCGGAGUAGUACCGGUCAUGAAUGAAGCUUUCAAAUCCAGUCAACUACAUUGGGGGAAGACAAUCAUAAUAGGAUCUGCUGAUCAAGAAGCUUUCGUUAAGGCGGGGGUGAUUGAUCUUCUGUUUGGUAGACAGCUAUGUGGUUCUUGGUGUGGAUCUUAUAAAGCAGUUCGUGAUGUUCCUGAUCUUGUUGAGAAGUCUAUGAAGGGAGAUAUACAGCUUGAAAAACUAGUUACUCACCGUUUGCCUCUUGAUAAAAUCAACGAGGCUUAUGAGAUGCUUAAAACUGGAGAAUCCCAAUCACAUGCCGAGCUGCAGUGCUAUGGGAAAUAGGAAAACCCUACUCCAUUGAAACAGUUGAAGUAGCUGCUCCUAAGAAAGGAGAAGUUCGAGUGAAGAUGGCAUCAGUUGGUAUUUGUCAUUCAGAUCUUCACGCACAGAAUGGAAUGGCCAAAAAAAUUCCAUUUCCAACAAUUUUAGGACAUGAAGGUGCUGGAUUUAUAGAAAGUGUUGGAGAAGGUGUGGAACGUUUUAAGA